AAGUCUGGAACUUAGCGAAGACGCAUAUGUUUUCGAACAAAAUAGAUGAAAACAACUCAGAGAGUUCCAAAACUAGUGUUGAUUGUUUGGAUGCGAUGGUCGGAGACCAGUUGACGAAAUAAUAACAAUAAUCAAGAAAUCUCUACGGAAGCCAUCAUUCACAACUGUCAAAUUAGGCAGAGUGUGCUGGUGGGUUAGCGUAUCAAGUGAAACAGCACGUAGAUCCACCGGCUGGAUGCGGUCAAAUGGCCCGGUGGCACUAAUUUUUUUGUGGUAAAAAUAAAGCCGACCGGAUAAAAAUGUACGAAUCCAUCUUUUAAAUACACCGCACAAUCGUCUUUUUCUUUUUGAAAUCAGAAAUUCCAUUUAAAACCGCUUCAAAAUUUCAUAAAUUUUUGAUUUUUUUUCAUUCAGUCGAUCCAUGAACAAGCCUAAACCACCCUGAACAAAAACAACUCAGAAUUCGCGAAAACCCCUACAACUCAGUUUUGAGUUAU